rnacentral:rRNA from 1 species
GAUGAACGCUAGCGGCAGGCCUAAUACAUGCAAGUCGAACGCUCAGUAGCAAUACUGGGAGUGGCGCACGGGUGCGUAACGCGUACACAAUCUACCUCUAAGCGGGGGACACCUCCUGGAAACGGGGAUUAAUACCGCAUAAUAUGCCGAAGUCGCAUGACUUUGGUAUUAAAGCAGCAAUGCACUUAGAGAUGAGUGUGCGUCCCAUUAGGUAGUUGGUGAGGUAACGGCUCACCAAGCCUAUGAUGGGUAGCCGGUCUGAGAGGAUGGUCGGCCACACGGGCACUGAGACACGGGCCCGACUCCUACGGGAGGCAGCAGUAAGGAAUAUUGGUCAAUGGUGGAAACACUGAACCAGCCAUGCCGCGUGGAGGAAUAAGGUCCUACGGAUUGUAAACUCCUUUUGUACGAGGAAGAAAAUGUUAGAUUAUCUAAUUUUGACGGUACUCGUAGAAUAAGCACCGGCUAACUCCGUGCCAGCAGCCGCGGU